ACAAAGUUCUUAAAAAAACGUAUUGUACAGUUAUCGAAAGCUGUUAGUACUUGAUCUUGAUACCACAUUUAUUUCAGUUCGUUUUCGGCCAGUGUCAAGAUUUGAACUUUAUCUGUCUCAAUUGAAGACCCUGCUUCAGACAGGAUGAUCUUUACUCCUAAUCGUACAAAACAGGCAAUGUCAUUAGUGCUGAAAAAAUUGGAGAACAAAGGUAAAGAAGUUAGAAAAACUCUGGUAAAGAGGAUUUGGAAGCAGAAGAUAUUCAAAGAAAUUUAUUUUACACCACUCAUGACGAUACCUCCGUUUAGGUAUCAUUCACCACCAAUAAAUAUAGAUUACAAUAGCACACCUUCCGAUAACCCCAGUUGAUACCAAUAUUUCUUUACCAAGACCAGUUUUCCAUUGAAGAAACUAAUGAAAUGGAUUGCUGUUCAUCGCAAUCCCAAGAAUACACAAGCAAAC